AGGAUUAUAGUUAAAUAAAUAACAUUUGAAUUGCAAUCAAAAAUUAUAAAUAAGUAAUUAAUCUUA
rnacentral:tRNA from 1 species